ensembl:lncRNA TEX41 testis expressed 41
GUGGCCCAUUUCAAGUUUCCCAUGAUUCUUAGGAAGACCCUGGCCUCCAUCUUGAAAACGGAAAAUAAAAACAGCAGACCUAUGAAGGUCGAAGGGGAAGAAAAGCUGUAUCGAUUGUUGAGAUCUGGCGACUUGUUUAAAUUUCAUCAGCCUCACUUCUAUGAACUCUCAGAGCUGAUUACCAACUCCUACCACUGUUAACCCUCAUCCAGGAACAAGCUUAUGUCUUUAACAUUCUGAGUGGGCUUCAGCAUCCUUGCAUAUGUUCAAUUCUUAAAAACCUGUUGAAAUAAAAGAUCAGGAGACAUAGGAAGGAUGCCAGAAGAGAGCGUGGCCUCACGUGUACCAGCUCUCUGCUCUCCUUUGCCUUGGGACGUUCCAUCCCUGGAAGUUUCCCUGCCCACAUCUUUGUAGAGAGUCCAUUCUCCAAGCUUCAGUGUGUCAUCUGUGAGGACCGUGACCCACCUGGUACAUCGCCUCAGGGCAUUCAUUUCAGGCUCCUUCUAAAUGGCCAAGGGUCUUCCUCUGCCACCCAGGCUGGAGUGUGCAGCAGCAUGACCGUGGCUUACUGCAGCUUCAACCUCUCAGGAUUAGGUAAACCUCAGGUUCUCCUCCUGCCUUUUGCUAAGUAUAUGUCUUGAUGACAAGCCUUCUGCUGAUGAGCUGUGUUUCUGGACCGAUCAUGGUAGAAGUCAAUUAACGUGUCCCUCACUUGGGGUUUCUCAAGGCUGCACUGAUGAGGAAACUGAAACAGAAAAUCCAGAGUAAAUUCCACCAGGCCACACAGCAAGGUCUGAUAGAGCCAGGAGAGACUUUAUGAAAUCCAGACUCUCACACUAAUGCUCUAUCAGCUAGACCUCCAUGUGAGUCUCCCCAAUGUAGGUAGGAAGUGCUUUCCCUAAAAUGCUCAUAAAGCAAAUCAGAGCAAUGCUGCAUUCCAUGUGAUUUCUAAUUUGAAAUGCAAACAAUUGCCAAUUUGUUUGACUUGUAUUUAUAAUUAUUUCCUUGUGAAUUACUCAUCACUAAAUGCUUUAUAAAUAUUUUCUCUUUUUUUCCUCAAUGUCUAUGGAAUGAUCACAGCAUAGAAAAUGUUGGCUUUCAAGGAUUUAUUAAUAUCUCCUUUUGAAAUAACAUGUAUUUGUAAGACAGAAUAAAAUCACUUUAAAGAAACAAA